rnacentral:lncRNA from 1 species
AUAUAAGUGUUUUUUGAAUAGAGCUAUUUUUUUUUUACUAAAAACUUGUUUGCCUCGGUUAUAAGGCAUGCAUGAUGUUGUUCUAAGAAGUAUUUUGAGUUGUUCUGUCAUCUAAAUAGGAUCUUCUUAUUGGCUUAAAAGAGCCAGCAUCCUACCCUGUGGCAGGAGAUUAUGUUGGAUCAAGUUAUGUUCGAAAUGGUGAGAGGUCGGAUUAGGCUGAGUCAUGUUCGAAAUGAUGUGAGGCUGGUGAGGCCGAGUCACAGUCGAAAUCAGUGGGCACCAUAUCUGUACACUUUAAGUGAAUUUGUUGCGUAUUGCUAAUAGCUCAAGCUUUUUGGGAUUAAUGGUUGGCAGCAACGAUCCGGCACUU